GACGAACGCUGGCGGCGUGCUUAACACAUGCAAGUCGAACGGAAAGGCCCUGCUUUUGUGGGGUGCUCGAGUGGCGAACGGGUGAGUAACACGUGAGUAACCUGCCCUUGACUUUGGGGUAACUUCAGGAAGCUGGGGCUAAUACCGGAUAGGAGCUCCUGCUGCAUGGUGGGGGUUGGAAAGUUUCGGCGGUUGGGGAUGGACUCGCGGCUUAUCAGCUUGUUGGUGGGGUAGUGGCUUACCAAGGCUUUGACGGGUAGCCGGCCUGAGAGGGUGACCGGCCACAUUGGGACUGAGAUACGGCCCAGACUCCUACGGGAGGCAGCAGUGGGGAAUAUUGCACAAUGGGCGGAAGCCUGAUGCAGCAACGCCGCGUGCGGGAUGACGGCCUUCGGGUUGUAAACCGCUUUCGCCUGUGACGAAGCGUGAGUGACGGUAAUGGGUAAAGAAGCACCGGCUAACUACGUG
rnacentral:rRNA from 1 species